rnacentral:rRNA from 1 species
UACGUAGGGUGCGAGCGUUAAUCGGAAUUACUGGGCGUAAAGCGUGCGCAGGCGGUUUUGUAAGCCAGAUGUGAAAAUCCCCGGGCUUAACCUGGGAAUGGCAUUUGGGACUGCAAGGCUUGAGUGCGGCAGAGGAGACUGGAAUUCCUGGUGUAGCAGUGAAAUGCGUAGAGAUGUGGAGGAACACCGAUGGCGAAGGCAGCCCCCUGGGCCAACACUGACGCUCAGGCACGAAAGCGUGGGGAGCAAACAGG